CCUACGGGGGCAGCAGUGGGGAAUAUUGCACAAUGGGGGGAACCCUGAUGCAGCGACGCCGCGUGGGUGAAGGAGCACCUCGGUGCGUAAAGCCCUAUCGGCAGGGAAGAAAGGCGGGCGGGGCCCGUCUGGACGGUACCUGACUAAGAAGCCCCGGCUAACUACGUGCCAGCAGCCGCGGUAAUACGUAGGGGGCAAGCGUUAUCCGGAUUCACUGGGUGUAAAGGGAGCGUAGACGGCGACGCAAGUCUGGAGUGAAAGCCCGGGGCCCAACCCCGGGACUGCUCUGGAAACUGGGGCGCUGGAGUACGGGAGGGGCAGGCGGAAUUCCUGGUGUAGCGGUGAAAUGCGUAGAUAUCAGGAGGAACACCGGCGGCGAAGGCAGUUCACUGGACUGCAACUGACACUGAGGCUCGAAAGUGUGGGUAUCAAACAGGAUUAGAGACCCCAGUAGUC
rnacentral:rRNA from 1 species